rnacentral:lncRNA from 1 species
GCGCGUCGCUCGCUCGCCCGCCCGCCCGCCCCCUACCCGAUCCUGCGAGGCCUUUCCACCUAGGCACAGGCCUGGCCUUCGCGGAGCAUCACCGGCUGCAGCGAAUCCGGCUUCCUUCCCGCGACAGCCCGCAGUCAAGUGUCAGAAUGGGCAGCACAGUGACGGAUGCCAAAUAGGAGCAGUGACAGGAGAGGAAUGUUUGGAGAAUGACACCAGAGAUCCGGAAAGAUCCAUCCCUCUGGGACAGGAGCCUUACACAGAGAGAGAAGAGAAGAAUUCGGGCAAAGAGGAAAGAGUGUCCCCUGCUUCUGCUCAGUGUCCAGGAGUAUCCCGAACAGAAGGUAGGGCCCUCUGACAAUGUCAGCCACCAGACCAGGCUCCAAGAAGUGGCCAAGCUCCAAGAGGAUGGGUGAAAAACACUCUGAA